rnacentral:sRNA from 1 species
CUUGGUUAGUAUUUGGAGUCAAAUAAGACAAGAUGUUAUGUGUUUGAUUGAGUAUAAGAACUAGAACCGCAACAUCUUCCCAAAAGCUAAAGUUGUGUUUCCCUUCUAGAAGAUACAAAGCCAAAAACUCAUACGGACUUUGGCUACACCAUCAAAGCUUUAAGAAGCAACAAGAAGUUUGGUUAGUGUUUUGGAGUCAAAAAAGACUAUAUGUCAUGUGUAGUAUUGAGUAUAAAAACUAGAACCGCAACUGGUUCCCAAAAGCAAAAGUUAUGUUUCCUUGUUAGAAGAUACAAAGCCAAAGACUCAUACGGACUUCGGCUACACCAUGAAAAUUUUGAGAAGCAAUAAGAAGCUUGGUUAGUGUUUUGGAGUCAAAUAUGACUAGAUGUCAUGUGUAUGAUUGAGUAUAAGAACUAGAAUGGCAACCGAUUCCCAAUAGCUAAAGUUAUGUUUCCUUGUUUGAAGAUACCAAGCUAAAGACUCAUACGGACUUCGUGUACACCAUCAAAAUUUUGAGAAGCAAUAAGAAGCUUGGUUAGUAUUUUAGAGUCAAAUAUUACAGGAUAUCAUGUGUAUCAUUGAGUAUAAGAACUAGGACCGCAACCGAUUCCCAAAAGCUAAAGUAAUGUUUCUUGUUUGUAGAUACAAAGCCAAAGACUCAUACCGACUUCGGCUACACCAUCAAAGCUUUGUGAGGCAAUAAGAAGCUUGGUUAGUUUUUCGGAAUCAAAUAUGGCUAGAUGUCAUGUGUAUGAUUGAGUAUAAGAACUAGAACCGCAACUAAUUCCCAAAAGCUAAAUUAAUGUUUCCUUGUUAGAAGAUACAAAGCUAAAAACUCAUACGGACUUCGGCUAAGCCAUUCAUGUUUUGAGAAGCAAUAGGAAGCUUGGUUAUUUUUUUGGAGUCAAAUAUGAUUGAUGUCAUGUGUAUGAUUGAGUAUAAGAACUAGAACCGCAACCGUUUCCCAAAAGCUAAAGUAGUGUUUCCUUGUUAGAACAUACAAAGCAAAAGAAUCAUAUGGACUUCAGCUACACCAUCAAAGCUUUGAGGAACAAUAAGAAAAGCUUUGUUAUGGUUUUGGAGUCACAUAUGACUAGAGGUCAUGUGGAUGAUUGAGUAUAAGAACUAGAACUGCAACUGGUUCCCAAAAGCUAAAGUAAUGUUUCCUAGUUAGAAGAUACAAAGCCAAAGACUCAUACGGACUUUGGCUACACCAUCAAAGUUUUGAGAAGCAAUAAGUAGCUUGGUUAGUAUUUUGGUGUCAAAUAAGACAAGAUGUUAUGUGUAUGAUUAAGUAUAAGAACUUUAACCACAACUGAUUCCCAAAAGCUAAAGUAAUGUUUCCUUGUUAGAAGAUACAAAGCUAAAAACUCAUACGGACUUCGGCUAAGCCAUCAAAAUUUUGAGAAGCAAUAAGAAGUUUGGUUAGUGUUUUGGAGUCAAAUAUGACUAGAUGUCAUGUGUAUGAUUGAGUAUAAGAACUAGAACCGCAACCGUUUCCCAAAAGCUAAAGUAGUGUUUCCUUGUUAGAAGCUACAAAGCCAAACACUCAUACAGACUUCGGCUACACCAUCAAAGUUUUGAGAAGCAAUAAGAAGCUUGGUUAGUAUUUUGGAGUCAAAUAAGACAAGAUGUUAUGUGUUUGAUUGAGUAUAAGAACUAGAACCGCAACAUCUUCCCAAAAGCUAAAGUUGUGUUUCCCUUCUAGAAGAUACAAAGCCAAAAACUCAUACGGACUUUGGCUACACCAUCAAAGCUUUAAGAAGCAACAAGAAGUUUGGUUAGUGUUUUGGAGUCAAAAAA